GUAAAAACAUUGACGAAGAAAGUACGUAUUGCCGGGCGUUGUAGAGAGAGGUUUCUUGGCUGUAAAAACCUUACGCAAGCAUUACCGAAAGCUACUUCCGAGUUGCAAGCUUAAACUUGCCGUAAAACUACGUUACAGUAACUAAGAGACAGCUAACGCUGUAAAUUAGGGUGGUACCGCGACUAAUCCUCGUCCCUUUA
rnacentral:ncRNA from 1 species